CCCCACUGCCGGCUCCGAGCCGGCUGCAACGCCCUUAAGAAUGCCGGAACAUUCGUCAUAGUCACGUCACGACCUCCGCCCUCUUGCCCGCCCUGCCGACCUUGGUAAUGAGCCGGCGGCUCCGCCCCUUCAUGAAUAAUGCAUUACAUCGGGAGCCCCUCCCCCUUUGCGUGUCCCUGGCGCGGCUCCGGGAGGGGUGGGCGCUCGCGCUGAGCGCCGCCCGCGCGGACGACGGCGGCGAGCCCCGAGAGCGCUACCACUCAAGCGGGGGAGGUGACAGCCUUUUAGUAACGCCCUGGAGAUCUGCCGGCCUUCCGGGUGGGGAAGGCACGCAACGGGCUUCCACACUGUGUAUGUCCUCAUGCGGGAUAUACCUGAAAUGAAAUGGUUUUAUUUCGUUUUGCGGCAGCGGGUGCGAUCGGUUUUUAUCUCGGCUGGGAUGGUGGUUUGUUCCGCUGCCUGCCAACCCGUCAGGCGCUGCUUCAGGGAGGCGGGCCGCCCCGCCCCUCCGCCUCGCGCGCUGCUCAUUUGCAUUGACGCAGGGCCGCGUGCCGCGGGUGGGUAGGACGGGGGCGAGGCGCGAGCGCGGCGACACGAGACGGGCGGGUGUCGAGGCCCAGCCACGGGAGCCCCGCCCCUGGCCCCGCCCCUGCGCGCGAGGUUCCCUCAGCGGCCGCCCCGCUCGGCCCGGGGGAGCGGAAGGGCUGGGGUGGCGGUGCCGUGGCCUCCCGUGCCCCCCGUGGGAGGGGGCUGGCGUGGGGUCUCCCUGCACGACUCGGGCACACGAGGCCCCGCGGUGCAGGGGGGUGUCGGAGCUCCCAGGCGAAGCUGCGUGGUCAUCCCUUCCUCUCCACCCAGAUCCUGCCAUCUAACCUUGCCAUUCAUUUGUUGGUCUCUCCAGAGACCCACAUGAGCUUAGACCAAGCCCACAAUGAGGUGUCGUGGAGCCUUUUGAGGUAUUUCCUGGACAGUGUUGAAGGUGGGGUUUUCCCCUUUCCAUGUAGUGGAAGCACAGCUCUUGACGACUAAUGCAAACAAAUAGUUUGGCAAAUACAGAUGUAACGCUGUUACAGAUGUAGAUACUCCUGGAAAGACUGAAACAAGUGAGCUCCCUUUGUGCUCUGGGAAAGCUGUAGUUCAGCAGCGAGAGAAUUAAUACAUGGCUAUUGAAUGUCAGAGUACGUUGGGGAAGUGUCAUUAUAUGCUUGACCUAUUGUACUUUUCUCUAGGCGUCCAUUAGUGGCCACAGUCAAAGACUGGAUGGCUGCUUUCCAUUUGGCCGAUGGACCUUUGAUCUGACCCGGUGUAACAAUUCUUAUUUGUUAAAUCCGUACAUGUUUUUUAUACACAUAUAAAAUGUAGAGGAAAAAAAUUGGUUCAGCAUCUGCAGUCAUCUCUGAUGUGAUCGUGAACCUACGUGGGCGUGUGUGUUUGAGUAUCCGUGCCAUCUUGCGGGGUUAAGAUGAAAAUACAUUUGCAGCAUAGAAGAAUAAUUGAUCCACGUUUAUCUUUGCUGUCUUAUUGCUUAGUACUCCAGAAUUAUUCAUUAGAUUGGCAUCUGUUUUGAGAGCUCUGCAGCCGUCUGCCUUAUGAGUGGUAAAAAAUAGAGUGCAGACCACAGCCCUACAGAUGAUCACAUGCUGAGUAAAGGUUGCCGGCCAAGUAAUGUUUCCUCUCUGAACAGCGAGUUGCUUCACAGCACAGUCCCCAUAAACAUUAGUUUUGUGAGCCACAGAACUGGUAGCGUCUGGCUUCCCUUUGCGCUCAUGUCAUACGCCUGACGUUGGGCUAUGCGCAAGCCUGAACAGAAGGUGUGCUCUACCUGGGGCCUUCUGGGGUGUCUGGCAAGGGUGGAAGUGAUGCUGCACUGUGUCGCUCCUGUGAUCAGCUGCCGAUUUCUACAGAGUUUGCAGGGACCCAGUUGUUUUUUUCUUGUGAGCAGUUGGCUUCUCUGCCCCUCACCUUUAAAUCAAGUCCAAAUUCUUGUGAUUCUUCCUUCAAAACAGUUGUUGUGACAUUUGUGAGUAGUGUUUUUAAAUUGACUGAAAGACAAGAGUACUCACAUGGUCUAUGACAGCUUCUCUCUACCAUGUUAGCCAUCUACCCCAAUCAUACACGUUUAUUGAAACAACAUCCAUGGGGUGAAUCUCAGCUACUUUUAACCAUGUAAAAAGUAAGCAUCCGCUCUGCAUUAGCUGCCUAAUCUUCUACAAACAUGAGACAGGUGCUACCAAAGGAUGAUUCACCCCACGCUAAUGCAGGUACCUUUAGAGAGAGAAACCUGUUCUCUGUGUUUUUGAGGAAAGCUUCUGGCUAUAUCUUGCUGCAGAAUCCAGGAGGUCUUUGGUCCUGUGGCAUAUGCUUUUUGACGGUUACGAGCAAGAACAGCUGUACCAAGUCAAACCAAGAAUCUUUCAGGCUGUGUAUCCUGUUUCUUCUACCUCUGAUAAAAGACCCCUUGGUGUCUGCUAUGGUUGUAAAUUCUGUUCUCCUUCACCAAAUCAAGCGUCUUAACUGGCACUUUGGUGCCAUCUAGAAGUGCUGAGUCCUGUCCUUGGACAUGUUUUUUUUCGCUUUCCAGUUCCUAGUUUCUUGAUUUUUGACCAUUUGGCCUGUGCACUCUCUUCCUUCAAUGUUUUUUGUUUGUUUUUUUUUUUUUUCUCCCUCAUAGUCCCUUGAUUUCUUCCUGAUUUAUCUUAGCUGCCUCUUUCCAGGGAAGGUUUGAGAGCUUUUUUGGAUUGGGCUACUAGGAAGGUAAUAGUGUCUGACAAUGGAUGCCUAAACAAAUGUGUAAUAACAGGCUAAGCGUGUAUAAUGCUUCCUUCAGUUACUUCAACCAUUUGUAGUUCAGGAUCUUCCUAGAUUUGCCUUCCCAGACCUUAGGUAGUGGGAUGCUUGGACUUCACAUUCCCUGGUUGUCACUGGAAAGUGACAGUGUGUUUGGGCCUGAAGAAGAGGGGACACUGGCAGAGCCCCUCAUCUGAGCGACUUGGAGAAGAGAGAGUCACCCAGCUGGGGUGGGUUGCUUAGACUAGACAACAAACAUUACAGGAGGUGGAUGCCAAGCCAUAUGCAAUAUCGCUGUACGUAAUACGUAAAUCAAAAAAAACCCCUGUUGCAAACCAAGCUGUCAGUAUGGUAAACCCAAAUAUACCAAAGUUCUUUUGGCCAUUAAUCAACCUGCUUCUGUGUAUUUAUUGCAACAAAAGUGCAAGGCAUCAACCUCACCUAGGAGACCUACGGCAGAGCUGGGGCUGACAACUCUCCUGGGUUUGUCAGUGCCUGAAAGACAAUGAUCGUCUUAUUUGUCUGGUGUUCUGCACCAUCCACUCUGCUAAAUUUUGUGUGGCAAAUUGAACCAGCAAUACUAUAGAAGAGAAAAUAUAAAGACAAAUCACAAUAAACUGCAAGGAUUACAAAGCAGCUCUUCUGGCUGCCAUUUCGGUGACAUGAAAGGGAUCAUCAAGGCAGCAGCUUCUGAAUUUUGCCCCUGACUGGUUAUAAUUUCUUCUAGAAAUUACCAUGCACAGCUUAAGUUAUUUUCUUUUUAUAAACCUAGGGGAAUAACAUCUGUGAUUUGCCUAUGUUAGUGACAGGAUAUUAUAUAUGAGAAAGGAUUUUGGCCCACCAUUCUAUUUUUCUGCUUGAACAAAGAAAAACUUUUAGCAGUUAAAGGAACUGAAAGGGAUUGUGCUGAGAUGCUGCCUGCUUCAGAGCACUCUGUGAGCUUAGCUUAUUUAAAAAGUGUAUGUUCUUGGGGAUAGGGUCCAUACUGUUUCCUUAUCAGACAGCACUAAACAAUUGUUACAGUUUUUGGGAGCUAAAAUAAAUCACAAAACAGAUAAAAAUUUAGAUACAGUACAUAGACUUCUACGUACAUGCAGAGUUACUUCAGUGCUUCCUUAUUUUGUAAAUUAACAUGAAUGCCAGAAUAUCAGGAGCCUAAAGUAUACAAAGGAAAAUAACUCUGCUGCUAGAAUCUGCUGUUUUCCUCCUAUUAGCUAGUUGGAAAAGCACUGUGGCAGUGAUUUUGAAUAUGGGCUGCAAAUAACAUGUGUAGAUGAAAAUGAUCUUUGCUUCCAUUCCAAUACUAAUAGCAGCUUUUCUGGUGAUUUUUUGCAUGUUAUAGUUAAAAGUAAAUGUGGCCGCAAAUAGUACCGACUUUAAAAAAACCUUUUUAUUGUGGAGUGGCUCAGUGCAGAGACUCAUCCGCUGCUUGUAACGCAACAAAUUGUUCUCUCCACAGCCCACAAUAUUUAUAGGCCUUUCAUCAUUUACAGUGAUUUACUACUCUGUUUGACCCCUCUUCCAAGGCUCUACAGCUACAAGAAAAGCAGGGGGUUUUAUAUGAGUUUCUUGUUUUCUCUUUACUGUUUCAUCUUUCCUUUUCUCUUUCCCACAUCUUCUCCUCUUGGGCUCUUUUUCAGGACUCUGUAGGUAGCUCUGUCUGUCCUGAGGGCUCUGCUAAGAGAUCCGUUUCCAUCUCCCCUGUGAUCAGGCUGUUUAGGGAAGUUCAGAGUCUGCUGUCCCGUGGGCUGUGACGUGUCGGCUUCGUUCCUCAGUUUAAGUUUCGAAACGGGCUUGUGUAUGCAUUCCAGGAACAGCACAUUGUUCUAACUGGUAACAAAAAUAUACUAUUCAUGUACUUUUGCUAGAGCUGCUUCCUCUUAACCUUAAAGCUGAUUUUUGUUAAUGACUCUUUCCUCCUGUGGAAAUGUGGAAAACAGCCUGGGACUGCAGGUUAUUCAUAGAGAGAAACAGAUGAUGAGUCUUGACAUUUCACAGGAAAAAGAGGUCUGAAGAUUUAUAUCAAUGUGUUUCAUUUACAGUUUAUUCUUGAUUUUCUUAAACUCUGAUAAUAUUAAUAAUGCAUUCUUAGGAAGGAGAUAGGUGAGUCUUUUUCUGCAGUGAGUGGUCAGUUGAGUCACAGUAGCUUUCUUUUUUAUUUUUUUUUUUUCCAUGGUGUAUUUUCUCAUUAAAAGAAAAAAUAUUAAUUGUCCAGAUAUAGCAAAAUUGGGAGAGAAACCUUUGAUCAUUGUUUGUUGGAAUUAAAUUAAAAGCAGUGGGAAAAUUUAACACCGGGGAUUGAGAUUGGUUUAUUCUGUUCUUCCCAUGCCCAUGUUAUGUUUUUGUUUGUUUGUUUUUAAAGCUAAAAAUCUUAAAAUUCACAAGAGAUGGGCAGCUUUCUUCCUUUAUUCAGAGCCUGACUUACAUUAGGAGAGCUGUGCUGCCUGCUGGACUUGACGGAUAUGGGUUCUGGUCACAAGAAUGCAAAGCAGUGAUUUAUUCUGCUUUUUCUCCUUUUUGCCCUGGAGUUUAACCAGUACAUUAGACUAAAAUUUUCUUGCUUGCUAGUGGCAGUUUCUGUUUCUUUUUUGUUUUGGGGUUUUUUUGGUAGUGGAAGUCAUUAGAGUUUCUCCCAGGAGAGUAACUGCCAAAGUAAACAAACAUCUUCAUGAAAGGAAAAUAAUGUCUGUGGAGUAUUCAGAAUUCCGUGCUUUACAGAAGAGUAUUUAUGGCAACCAACUAGUGAAUUAAAGUGAAUGAAAUCCUAUUUCUAGUUUGCUGCUUCUGCUGUGCUAAUUGAAUGUGGCAAUUUCUGCUAGUUUCUCAGCUAUGCAGUGCAAGCUCUGGAUGUUAGUUGUAAUUUAGCAUGAAGGAAAAUACGAGUUGAAACUCAGUUUAGAAAAAACUAUAUAUAUUUUUUUUAUUGUAGGGAAUUGAAUAGUGCAUGUAAACCUCUGGGGAAUUGCUAUUGUCUCCAAAAUGUUCUGCAUCUGGUUGGCAAGAACAACAAGGACAGAAGAAAGUUCAGCUAAAAAAUUCAUAAAGGCUGUCUGGUGGAAUGCAUUACAGUCAGCUGGACACCUCUGUGCUCUUAUCCCUCUGAACUGAUAAUUUUUAGCUGAGAUGAAACAUUCUGAGGAACCGGAGGCUGGCAGAUUUGCAGCAUAGAUUGUUUGAAGGUUUAAAUACUGUGACUAUCUCAUCUUACAGUACGUCUGUAGAUAUAAUGUAAGCUGGAGUUGUUGAAAAGUGAUAGAAUGGCUCUGUGUGUACAGCCUACAAAACUGUGAAGAGCUUCUGUUCUGUGUGCCACAGCGUCCUGCACGCUUUCCACCUCCUGUCCAGGAUAGCAAUAACUCACCAGUGGAGCAAAUACCCUUCACAUUUUUUGAGGAUGAGACCAUAUCUAGUACUUUGUUUAAGCAGUGACUUUUACAAAGAGGACCAGUGCUAACUGGGAGCUGCUGCCAACACCAUCAUAUGUUUCAUGACAAAUGUGAAGUGUUCAAAAAGUUGGCACUACGAAAUAGAGACAUUGUCAAUCUCUGUUUAAUUCUCAAAAUGGCUUGUAGGAUUGUAAAGCUUGUGUUGUUGCUGGUGCACUCACAUACCAGAUAGCGGUUUUUAACAGCCCUUGUAAUAUGACUGCUUAAUUUGGUUAUAUUACUAGCACAUAAACCAAAACUAUUCCAAGGAUAGAGAAUACUAAAGUUUUACUGCUGAUUUUUUUCCUAUGUGCUGUGUGCAGAAGAAGAGUUUGUCCAGCAGUGUGUGCUGCUAUAGUCAGAACACAGUAUUUUCUCCUUUUCUAUGUACAGUUCAGAUGCAGCUGCCACUAUUUACCAAACACGAAGGCGUUGUUCACAGCUCUGAGACUAAGUUUGGCUUCUGCCCUAAAGAAUGCAUGAGACAUUUAUAUUAACGGCACCAAUGUUCAGUGUAUAUUCAUGUACCUGAAUGUUGUGACGUAGGUGGCACCUGGGAGUUUUGAGGAAUGAUCUUGGUGAUCAUUGUAUAGGUCUCCCAAAACUCAUGUGACAGACCUGUGCUAAGAAUAACUGCAUGAUGCUUCCAGCAUUGGAACAAUCUGAUCGGAAGGGUAGUGUACUGUAGUCUGACUACACUUAGGAGACGAGGUAGAAGACCCAAGGAGAGUCUGGAAAUUUUUGAGCAAGGAGGUUUUGAAAUGGAGUUCAUUGAAUCCUGCAGGAAGCCCUUAUUGAAGAUGUAGCAGGAGGAAGCAACCCAUAUCUGUAGCUAGGUCUACCCCUCUGCAGGAUUGUAUGAACCACGUAGCAAGUAAAACAGAAGGAAUGUAUGUUUGUACCUCAGCGGGCUGUUAAAGUAAGUGCUUUAAAUUGCUACAAGAAGAUUGAUUAAAGUUUACCUAUUAAAUCUCUGAAAGGUGAUAGAGGAGCAGGUUCCCCUUCUGAGCCAUGGCAUCUGUGUUGUACUAAAAGCAAAGGCAACCUAUCUGAUUAAUAUGUGAAAAUACAUUAUUUUGUACUUGACCUUAUUUGCUCUUUGAGUGCAAGAUGGAUGUUCACUAAUUUUACACCACCACCCACUGUUUCAAUAAAAUUGUUUUCAACAGAUUUUCUAAGAAAUUUGCUGCUUUAAUUAAUAUGGAAUUAUCUCAGAAAUUAUCAGUACAGACCCUUCAGAUUCAUCAUAGAACUAAAAUUAAUCAAACUUUUCUGUAUAGGCUCGAAUUGAAGAAAUUCAGAUUAAACUAAGAAGACCAUUAACCAAAUAAUUGUGGCUAGUUCUGACUGUAUAUCCAGUAACCAAGGUGGGGUCAACGACUCUGAGGCUGGCUAUUGCAAUGUCUGGACUCAGGCAGCAAGGAGCAGCUGGGUGGCUGGAGGGUAGGAUGCUCUCCUUCCCAUUUUGUGUGGGCGUGCAGCAGCUUUUGCAAAACACUCCAGCAUCCGUGGCAGUAAUGAUGCAACUGGCCUGGCAAUGAGGCUGUGCCUUGGGCAGGUGGAAGGGGCAGACCUGGAGGCAACGCAGAAUCAUAGAAUCAUUUCAGUUGGAAGAGACCCUCAGGAUCAUCAAGUCCAGUCAUAACCUCACUCCAGCACUAAACCAUGUCCCUAUGAACCUCCUCUGAAAGCCUUUUAAACACCUCCAGGGAUGGUGACGCCACCACUUCCCUGGACAGCCUGUUCCAAUCAUGACAACCCUUUCUGUGAAGAAUUUUUUCUUAAUAUCCAAUCUAAACCUCCCCUGGUGCAACUUGACACCAUUUCCUCUUGUCCUAUCACUUGCUACUUGGGAGAAGAGACCAACCCCCCCCAUGCUACAACCUCCUCUCAGGUAGUUGCAGACAGCGAUAAGGUCUCCCCUCAGCCUCCUUUUCUCCAGGCCAAACAGCCCCAGCUCCCUCAGCCGCUCCUCAUCACACUUGUGCUCCAGGCCCCUCACCAGCUUCAUCGCCUCCUCUGCACUCUCUCUAGUACCUCAAUGUCCUUCUUAUGAUGAGGCACCCAAAACUGAACACAGGAUUCAAGGUGGGGCCUCACCAAGAAUUGAACUCAGCUCUUCCAUACAGCGAAUGAUGCUCCCUCAACACUUGGCUUUUGGUUAGCCAUGGCCCAGCCAUCGUCCCCACCCCUGGCUUUUAUUAUUUUUUUUUUAACUUGCUAAGUUGAAUUUCUGAGCAGUGUAGUGUGGCUGAUACUGAAGCUUUCACUUAUUUUCCUGUUGUACUCCCUUCUCCUUCUAAAUAUGCCCAGCUUUAGCUGGGACUCAGAAACAAGAAGUCUUGAGUUGUCUCAAAAUGAUUUACAUCUCUGAUCUAACGAACAAUUGUAAAUCAGUGUUAAACUUCAUCGCUUUUGACCAUUCAUGCUAUUAUGAUGAUACAAAGACACUGAAAAAUAAUAUGCCAGUUUUGCCCUGUAUAUUUUGAUUACUACCCUGAUUCUCAGAAAAUAAGACAGGGUCUUAUAUUAAUUUUUUGCUCCAAAAAAUUAGUUAGGGCUUAUUUUCAGAGGAUGUCUUAUUUUUCCAUGAACAACAAUCUACAUUUAUUUUUGAACAAAAAAAUCAACAUUUAUUAAAGUGUUGUCAUGUCAUCACAUUCUGGAACAUCAUCAUAACUCUCCAAACCCUGAAUUCCAUCGUGAAUUUCUUGUGUCUCCACUUCCUUUAGAACCAUUGGCCCCAAUUUCUCCUGUCUAGCAAUAGUGCUUUCCUUAAAUGAGCACCUCUCUCCAUGUAGCCUGCUUGUAGCAUAUUGGCAACGCAAAUGUCAGUUGUCUGUCAGGUGUCUGCUUCUUUUGGUGAAGGGUCUAUCUGUUCUGCUGCAUUCUAUUGCCAAUUAGUUUUACUUUUUUACAUGUAUAGCUGCCUGGAUGCUAUUUAAAUUCACUUUUUUUUUUAAUGAACUGUAACUAGGGCUUAUAUUUCAAGCAUCCUCAAAAAUCCUGAAAAGUCAUGCUAGGGCUUAUUGUUGGGAUAGGUCUUGGGGAAACAAUGUAAAACCAUAUAAUCUGUGUCAUUCUUUUUUAGUGCUUGUGUAUAACCUUUUUAAUAAUUGUAAAGAAAAGAAAUACAAGAAGAAUCCCUGCCAAGAAACAUAUGUAAAAGUUGAAUGCAUUAAAAUAUUCAUGUGAAAGUAUCUUAGAAGUAAAUUAGCUAUAGAAAAGAACAAGUGAAACCUAGGAUAUGUAUGGAGAAUAUUGCACUUCAAUAAAGUAAAAUAUAUUAAAAAAGAAAACACACAGUUAAAGUCAUCCAGACAACCUUAAUUUUCAUCUAUAAUGAGAACCUGAGGGAAAUGUGGAGUUAAAUUUAGUUUAUUUCUGCAGACUAUAACAUUUUAACCCUUUAUUCACAGUUUUACUUAAAAGAAUUAUAGUUGCUUGGAUGCCCAAAUUGUUGACUCCUCCACCUUCAUAUGUUUAGCUUUUUUAUAAGUUUAAACUAACUCUGAGCCCUGGAAGUUGUGCCUUCUAACCACAGAGCUACAAGGUGAAGGAACUAGGGUAAGAUCAGACCUAUUAUAUCCAUCUUUUAUAUGGAGAAUACAAAGUCUACUGUAAUUCUGUCAUUUCCUUUCUCAUUAUGGCAUUGAGAGCUCAGAUUCAUUUCUAUGCAGUGGCACAAAACAGUUUGCCACUUAAGUAUCGCUUACAGGAGGUACUUUGCAAAAUUGAUGAUCCCAUAUGCCACAAAUCAAUUGUACCCGUGCCAUUAAAAUGGAAAAUUGCCUAGAUCUUUAAAAAUUCCUAAAUCUUGGUAAAUAUCCUUGAGUAAUUGUCCUAUCAUUUUGGGUCAGUGUGCUUUGACCAGAGGUUAGUCAAAAUGAACCAUCUGAGGAACCUUUGUUUUCAUCUUUGUAACAAUUUUUUUUGUGCAUGCUUAUAUAGUAUGUUGUAACUGAAGAGCAGAAAACCUCAUAAAACUUCUACAUUAGGAAAGCAAAGGGUGCUUUUUUUUUUUCCCCCCCCCCUCUCUCCCAAAUAACCUCUCUUUUCAACGUUGAAAGGUCUUCUUUAUAUGAGGAGUUUACCAGGGACUAUAGUAGUAUAAUUAUGCCUUCUGGAUGCUUUUUAAUCUUGCAUGAAUGCCUGUAGAAUUCAAGCAUCCACAUGGGGAGUUGUACCAUCAGAACUAUAGGGGCGUAAUUAUGCUGGUGAAUUCUGUAUGAAGACAAAUCCUUUAUGAAAGGGAAUUUUAUUUUGGCUCUUCACUUCUCAUUUCAUUCAUGUUCUGAAAUAAAACGAGUUGAUCAAAUCAAUGAAAGUAAUGAAAAUUCAAUGGUUAUCAAGUAGACUGUCAAGUGCUGGGGAAAUUGGAAAGUAAUAAAUAUAUACAUUUCCUGAUAACAUUCAUGUGCAGUUUCAUUCUUAUUCUCUCACCAGUGUUGAGUUUGUGAGAGGUUUAGUGAAAGGUUAAUAAACAGGGUCUGUUCUUUGCUGAGACUCACAAGCUAAUACACCCAAUAGCUAAACACUGGUAGAAUAUUAGAGAUUCUUAGUUCUCAUAAAAAGCAGCUGGGGUUUCAGGCAAAUAUGACACUGGGGAAUUACCUGAAUACUUUUAGUCUCUGUAAGACCUGUGAAGCCAUCACUGAGCAGAUCAGCCAUUGAAUUUCUAUGUAUGCAUCCCCAUAUCCCAGUUAAAUUGUAGUUCCUUAAAUAUGUGAGUCCAACGACAGUGGUCAAAAUGUUCUUUACAGAAAUAGACCAUUUACAUGAAAAUAUUUUUCCAUAUGUCCAUAAGGGAGUAGUAACACUUUAACAAUUAUUUAUAAAAUGUGCUUAGAGUGAAUUAAAAGUAUAUCUCAAUGUAAUUGCUGCAUAGACAUUAGGACAAGGAGACCCUGAUCAUUUUGGUGAUGUAAUCUAGGCCAACCUUAGCACUGACCACAGAGCAUCACGCUGUAAGUCUUGCUUGAGACCAUUAUUUCACAGUGAACUUCAUUAGAAAGACAUCUGGUUCAUAUUUAAAGAGUUCAAAGAGUCCACCACAUCUGUACCAACACUCACUGCUCAGGUGAAGUGUUUUAUUUGUGGUCUGAAUUUAGCUUUGACUUAACUUGUUGACUCUUCACUGGUUUAAAAAAGCCUUUAGCACUGGACAUUAUUCAAUGAAAAUGCUUAAAGGCUGGGAUCAAGGCAUCUCAGCUCUCUUUUGUUAAACAAAUCUCAUUGAGGUGCUUUAGUUUCUAACUGUAAGGCAAGAUUUCUGUAUCACCAGUUUUUCCUGUAGUUUCUUUCAAGUUUUCAAACAUCCUUCUUAAGUAAGGUCGUCAGGGCUGUCAGCAACGCUAUUACUAAUGAGAGAAUUAGUAACGCACAAAAGCAUGCUCUACCAUUUCUGUUUUUGAAGCAUGGAGGAAGACAUAAGGGCAAAUAUAUUGCUUCUACCAAAAUUUUAGUUUUUCAUGGUUUUUGUUACAAGCCUUUUAUGAAAGAUGACGUCUAAGGGCUUCCAUUGGAUAUUGGGCUUUUCCAAGGCAGGUUUAGUAGAGGAACACAGCAAGGUGAUAUCUUGCUGUGAUAACCAGAAUACUUGGGUUUGCCUGGGGCAGUGUUGUGUACAAGGGCAGUACUUCUCUCCUGCUUCAUAUUCUUUUUAUCUGCUAAGCUUUCUUUUAAAGUUGAAAAUACAGUCUCCAUUUUUGUAAAUAUUGUUUGCUUUUUGUUCCUACAUGUAUCACCACAUUUUUUUAUCAUUAAUAAAGUAUACAUUUGUCACAUGAGCAUGGAUUAAAGUGAAGUGGGUUACAAGAUAGCACGGCUAUGCCAUUUUCUCUGUUCUCUGCCAGUUUUUCACCUGUAAAAUUUCCUGGUCCUGAUUUUUGUUUUCAUCAAAGCAUGGCCAUGUAUCUUCACCCAAUAUAGUCACCCAAGUUAGUGAGAAGAAAUAGUCCAAAAAGUCUUUUCCUGUGAGCUCACUGUUGAAAUGUUGCAAAUGGAAGAUGGGUCUGGUUUUGGCUAUCAGCAGAAGUUUGUGGGUUAUCUAUUUUGUAAUUAAUGUAGAACACAGAGCAUAGUGCUGGCAUGGUAAUCACUGUCAUGCUAUGGUUAGGUAAGUCUUUUAUAAGCAUAUGGGUGUGUGGUUUUGCAGUUGUAUCCCAUUACUCUGAAGCUGUUUCAGGCCUACUGGGUAGGCAAACUGAAACAAAAUAUUUAAAUGUCCUUCUACUUAGCAAUAGUUUCCAGUUUUGAACUCUCCUCUCCAGAGCAGGCUGUGUGCUAGUCAUGGUAAUGCCUUAGCUAGAAUUUUUUUGACAGCCUGAAAAGAAUGGGAUCAGUUUGAUUGUGGUUGUGUGGGUCUGUGUGUGGGGCAGGAGCACUACAGAAAUGCACAGGAAAGGGGUCAAGGAAGCCCACCAGCCUCAGGACUGCUAGCAAGGUGACCCUGAGAAAGAGAUGCUUGAAAUUGUAAGUAAAGAAACGGACUCCGCUGUUUGCUUCCUACUGUGUUUGGGGAAACAGCAUAUGGUAUAUGUGGUUUGUAAAUAAAUAGGAUUGCAUUGGAUAAUGCCUAUCAACAAUUCAAGGCAUAAGGUGCAGGAGAUCGAAUAUUAGUUAAUUGUUUCUAUCUAUGUUUACUGAAAAAGUUUAUAGCAGUAUCUUAGAAAGUCCUCAGUGAAGGUAAAUGUAGAGAUAACACAUUGAUGAAACUGAACUAAAACUACACGGCAAGUCUGCUUUUCAGUCUAAUAGCACUGAGCGUUCUUGUUUGGUUUUUGUUUUCUAGUCAGAGCAAAACCUUGAUAGUUGCCGAAUCAUAAAGAAAAGCCUGGGUUAGAAGGGAGCUCUGGAGAUCAUCUGCCCCAAGCUCCUGUUGAAAGAAGCACCUUAGAUGAGAUUAUAUGGGGCCCAUCAAGCUCAGUGGUUUCCAGGGGGUGUUCCCACUUUUCUUGCCAACCUGUUCGAAGUUUGCUUGCUCUCAUGGUGAAUAAUUUCUUCUUAUACUUGGAUGCAUUUCCCCAGAUGGCUUGUGCCUGUAGCCUCUUGCCACUGGGCAUCUUUCUGAAGAGAAUCUCCAUCAUCUCUGUAACAACCAUUUAAGUGUUGAAAGACUGUUUCAACACCCAGCUGUUUCUUCUCCGUGGUCAACAAACCUAAUUCUUUCAACCUUUUUUCAUCUGUGAAAUUCUCCAGUUGUCUAAUAAUCUUAAUGGUCCUCUGCUAGACCCUCUCCAAUUUUUAAACUUUUAUUUCAAUCUAGAAGGACCAAGACUGGACACAGUAUUCCAGAUGUGGCCUAAUAAAUGCUGAGGAGAGUGGAAUCACUACAGCCUUUGGUCUCGUGGCUGCAGACUCACCAAGGCAGCCCACAACACCAUCCGUCUUCAUUGCCCCAAGACCACCAGGCUGGUUCAUGUUCAGCUUGUGAUCUACCAGUACUCCUAGGUCUUUUUAACCCCAAUAAUACAGUUUCGUUUUUGACUACAUAUAAUGAAACCAGAGUACAGAAGUUCACAAAGCCUCAGGAAGAAAAGGGAGGUGCUCUCGUUUUCCCCUAAAGCCUUCAGCACUCACCCAUAGUCUGGGAGAUCUGUGUUCAGUUCUUCCCUUCUUUUGAAGAGCUGGACCUGUGUUGCUCACACCCCUGAGCGCUCCCCUCGGGAGGAGGCUGUAACAAGCCACAACAUAUUCUGGGGUUCCUUCAAACUCCCCUGUUGCGGUGGUGAUAUUUUUUGUUUAAUAUACUUUUGAUGUUUCUUAGACUAGGGACUACAGGUGUCAUACCUCCUCAGGGAUUGUCGUUUGUGCACUCUCUUCUCAUUCUGGUUCAGAAAUGCAAAAGUCCAGAGAAAUUCUCCAAAACUUUAGAGAAAAAAACUGUGUUUGCCCAGCUCCAGUGUGAUCCUUACGACAUACUAGGUCUUUGUGUUUGGUUUCUUUCCUUUGAUGUGAAUGAACUUGCCUGGAGUUAAGUGAUUCGUCAUGACUUGAAUGGCUCUGUCUUGGUAGUGCUGGUGAGUAAGUAGGGGCUACCUGGAUUUAUUUAGGUUUUUUAAAGGUACUUAUUGUAAUAUUUUUUGCUUUGAACAUGAUGAUUCUCGUUGUACCUCAUAUAGCUUUAUUUAUACUCUACAGUAUAGUAACUUGUGGGAUAAAAAAUCUAUUUGCUUUAUUUUAGAGGAGCCAGGAAAUAUCUAAAAAUAUUUUCAAGUAACACAGGAUAAUUUAAAUGUAAUUAGUAUGUUAAAGGGAAAUAAUAUUUCCAUUAUUUCCAUAGGGAAAUAAUAUUUCCAUAUUUCCCAAUAAUAUUUCCAUUUAAAGAUAAUUCUUUAAAAAGUCCAUUCAAAAUACUAAAUUAUAUUUAAUUUGGGAUUUCUAGUGCAGCAUGAAAAUGGGAUGAAUUUCCCUCCAUUUUACUAGCAGCAAAACAGAACGUGUGACUGGUGGGCAUUUGUUACAGGACAAAUUCUUUUGCAAUGGAGAGCACCACUUCUAGGACUUGUCCACAAUUAUGAGGAAAAGAUGUGUUGCCAUGAGGACUUCUUCUGAACAUCAUUAGGCAAAAGAAUGCCUUAAAUUUUCUAAAGAUCUAAUCUCAGGAAAAUCUCAAGGAUACCAUAAGAUGGAAACGUCUGCAUGGAGCAUGAGAUAAAUGAGUGUUGCACUUUCUGAUGAUUGAGCAGUGUCAGCCGCUGAUUACCAAAACCUCAUGGGUACUGCAGUACCCUCUGCUUUGUGGAAACAAACUUUGGCACAAGGUAUUAUUAUGUGAAACAUAAAAUAGACUGGUUCUUCAGAAUAACUUGUUUCCCUAACUGAGUGCUAAAAGGAGAAGUUUUAAUGGAAAAUGGGACUUCUCAAGGAAAUCCUGCUGGGUAUUCUAAAGGCUAUGCUUUAAUGAGCACACAAGUAAGUUACCUUGGAGAGGAAAGCUAGCCUAGUCAAGAAUGCACAAAAGUGAUAAUUAAACAAGAAAUCAAUAUGUUAAGUGUGGAAAAGGAGGGCAUAACUGGGAAUGAAAAUUGAAUCUACAAAAUGCAAAUCGCUUGUAGAGAAGAUAAAGGUAAUAAGAAAUUAUUACUGGGCAGUAGAGCUUAAGACAAUAAGAAGGAAUUAUCAAUGUAUUAGGAACAAAAGAAUGACUAAAUCAAGUAUAGAUUUUGGUCUUGCAGAAAAAGACAGAACAGAUCCAAUGGCUGCAAAUCAAAGCUUGAAAAAUUCAAUCACUAUCAAGAUGCAGCGGGGGUGAUUACACACAGGAAUAAUUUCCCAGUGUAGGUAGGUGGUAAGCUUGCCAUUGCUAGGAAUUUAAUCCAAUUGGAUACACUUUAAUCUGACUCUGGGAACAGACUUGUGAGCAUCUCUGUGGAUGGCUGUGGAGGUCAUUUCUUCUCUGCAAUCUGUACAUCUGCGAAUUUAUAUUUGUCCUUUGUCACUCCCUUCUUUCGUAAGCUGUGGAGGAGAACAGAAAGCUCUCAUUGCCCUCAACGUGUUCCACACACUCAGCUCUGUGUUAAGACAAGGACUGAAAAAAAAUCUUGUGCUUCAGGGCUACAGCUGGCUGCCUGCAGAAGGUGAGAGGCCGAUUCCCUGGGUUAAUUCUGCAUUUUUAAAUUUCAUUUUUCUCUGCAGCUGUAGCGUUGGGCAUAAAUGGUCAUAAAACCUUGGAGAGCUGAGGCCAAUUCUCUGCAGUGUGUCCUCUCUUUGAGACGGCUGCUGUCUUCCAGAUGACUGGGGGAUCAGACGGUUUCCUCCCUAAGUCAUGUAGCAAGGACUUGGAGGUCUUUUUGCUUCCCCUUUCCUUAUGACAUCUAUGCAUAUCUGAGACUGUAAUUAUGAUCAUUUGGGCAUAUCUCAUAUAAUCAACUCACUAUCAUUACUGGAGCCUGGGACAGAGGCAUCACAGCCUUUUUUGGUGUUCAUAUUACCUUGAUUUCUUCAAGACUGAUUUUUUUUUUCCUUUUUUAAAUAACCCCGCUCACUUGGGAAAGCAGCAGUAUGUCACGCACAAGACAGUAGCUUGCCUGUUCUGGUUUAAAUUCUACUGAUUUCUAGAGAUCUUGCCAGGUUAAUUUUGCUGCAGUAAGAGUCAUAGGUGACAAAUACUGUUCCUUUUUUCAAAAGAGGCUGAUGCCAGCUGUGCUGCCUGAUGGGGUUGCAGAGCUGCCUGGGUGCCAGUUUGCUGGGUUUGCUGCCUGCGUGCAGCAGCUGACAAAGGGUUUGUUGUGCUUGCAGCAGUGUUGCCUCCGAGUCUGUCUUUCCUUCUGCAGCCAUCCCUGCCUUUUGUUUAAAAAACCUGCCCCUCUAAAAUGAAAAUAAGAAACCUUGCUAAUGUUACAGUGCUGGAGAGGGAGGAUGCAAUAGCUUUUCUGACUGUUUUGAUUCUGUUGAAUUGCAAGUGGCAGCGAGUGAAAGGAGGGAUGUCAGGAGUUACUGGCAGCCAGGUUACCUGUUGCCAUCUCCUAAGAGGAGAACGGGUCUGGCAGGGCUCUGCCUGGUGGCUGUGCUGGCUGGUGGCUCUGCCCUUACACUGCUCUCUGUGGCACACAUGUGAAAGUACUCACAUGCUUCAUGAUGAUCCUGCUCUCCAUAUGGGAAGCUGAGGUUCUCAACAGACAUCUAUUAUCAUCCUGCAAAGCUGUGAAAAGAGACCUGCUGUUUCGUCAAUGUCACUGUUUUCUUCUUAAGCAUGUGACAGAAAGGCUGCCUCCAUCCUACAUGAGGCAUUAGGUAUUCUUUUUGUGGCUGCAAUGGAUGGACAUGUUUUCAAUUACUACUUGUGUGCAAGUGGAUUUGGCACUUGCUUAUGUAAAUAGACAUAUUGGCUUAUCACGUAAGUCACCUUACAUAUCAUCUGUUGUAUGGUUUAUCAUAUCUCAUUGGUUUGCAUCAGGUAUAACUUUGGCUUACGACAUAUAUAUUGUUAAUCAUAUAUCAUGGGCUUAUCUUGUAUCCAUCCGCUAACAGGUGACUGAAUACCUCCUGUCUGUAGCUCUUUGUUCUUGUACAGAGGUUUGUACAAAGGAGCUGCAGGCAAAGGUGAGUCCAGCUGGAAAACUGGAGGUAGACAGAUUGAGAGAGAUGAAGGGAAAAACCCAACAGAUACGGAUUAUUCCAUGAAUGACGGAACUAAUGAGAACUGGUUUGCUCCUGCUUUGUAUCUCUUGAGGUGCGACACACCAUGUUCGUCACACUGAAGUGCCCUGUACCAUGGUACCUUCCAAUCUUUCUGUGUCCUCAUAGUGAGAUUCCUUACUUGCCCUUAGCUCCUCUGCCAUGGUGUCUGGUGUCACACUUUGUUUUUUCCAUGGCUUCCAGCUACCAUUGUUUGGCCUAAUGACUGGGAAUGGCCCAGCAGAUGCUGUUCUGGAGCUGCAUGCAUUCAACGUAGCCAACCUGUACGUGUCUAGCAUGGUCAGCAGCUGCUACCAUUGGAACCUGAUUGACUGCCCUUCUCUGCUAGCAAUAAAAUUAAUGGCUUUGGGAGCUGCCUUCCAUGAUGUGCUGAAUGUUGUACAGGUCUGUUGUAAGAACUUACUGUUUUAAAAAUAUCUCUCUGUUCAAUUUGGUUGAAGCUGAACAGACUUGACAGAGAGACAGUGUGAUGCACGCAAGCUUCAUUUCCUCAGGAAGCCAAGCUGAAAAAAAAAAUCUGCCUAGGAAAAUUUUCAGCCAACAUUUGAAAAGCUUGCUGCUAAUUAUCAAAAUGAAGAAGCAGAGUGUGCUCACGUAGUGUUGAUCCAAACCAUCGGAAUCAAUCUCUCAAUAGACAGACCUGCUGAAAAUAAUAUGUAAAACACAUCAGACUUGUGUGCUGUGUGACUUUCCUUUUUAGCUUCGGUAUCUGACCUCGUCGCAAUAAUUUCCAACCCUAAAAAUCACCCUCCCUUACCCAAACUCUACAGGAUAUACACAAGUUAAAAGGAGCAUUUUAUUCCUAAGGCGUCAGAGAACCGCUCUCUUCAAGGUUGUUUAUUCAGAGUGAGGAAAUCAAACCAGGUCAGCCUGAAUUAGGGUGACGUUCUUCGGAGUGCCCGUGUUCCUGGAGCUCGUGGGGCUCAGCAUCUCUGGAGGCCUCUUGCCCCGCAAGGUCUCCCGCUGCCAACCCCUCCUCUUGGCCUUUGCUGCUCACGGACCUCCUGCCCUGUGUCAGACUAUCUGCACAUGAUUUGCAAAGUGCUUUUGGAUCCACUGGUAUGAAAAGAUGAAGAAGUAAAAUACAUGUUUCUUGUAUCACUGUUUCUGGUGCUGUAAAGUCGGUAUUUUAAAGGCUUUAAAGUUUCUGGAAAUGGAAUUUUGAUUUAUUCUGAGAACCAGCCUUCUGGUGUUUAUUCGCUUGCCGUCUACCUUCUGAAGGUCGGUGGAACUACAGCUUUUACAAAUCAUCCCUUGUAUUUUGGGUUAAUCCAGGCCUUCCUGCACUUUACUCUGUUGUUGUAAAUGCAGUUUAUAAUUUAUACAGAAUGUGGCUCAUCUACCCUGUGACUAGGAAAUGUUAAAAUAAAGCAUUCAGUCAUAGUUUAUGCAUCUGGUGAUGCAGACUGGGGUUUUUAAAAGAACCCAGAAGAAUUAGGCAUUCAAAUUUCAUUAAAAUGCUGUGGAAGUGAAGCAUAGAAACUCUAUUAAAAAGCUCAGUCAUUUUCUGUGACUCUUGUUUUUAAUCCAGUUUAAUUUGUGCAUAAGCUUGCUUGGGGGAGAGAAGUGGACGAGGCUGGUUUUGCACACCUUGCCUUCUUGUUCGUGCUGAGGAGCAGCCCUGCCUUAGAGCUUGAGCACGCUGCGGCUGUCUCACCUCCUCCAGUUUUAAAUGCAGCUUCAUCUACCUAUUUAACUAUUGGGUUUAUAAUUAAAACAUUAUUUUUAUAACCAUUUCAAUUAAUACAAAUUUCUGAUCAAUAAAACUGUUCAUAUAAAUAGUCUGGUGAAUAUGAUUUUUAAAAUGUAUUAUCUAUCUAUCUAUCUAUCUAUAUUACAUCAUGGGAAUGAUUUGUACCUUUUCAUGCUUUGAAAUGUUCAGGGAGACAAAACUGAAAAAAAGUCACUUCAGAAAAUAAAAUUGUACUGUGGAAUGUAGAAUCAUUGCAUAUAUUGCUUUUAAAUGCAAUGCAACAUGACUGAAGAUUACAUGUAAUAUACUGUCAGAUGUCUAAAAGAACACAAAAGCUUCCUCUAUAUGCAAGAAUCAAUAAAGUACAGUAUGAUAGAUACAAUAAAGGACAAGAUGAGAAGUCAGUUGUGUACACAGUCACAUGAAGAAGAGUAAGUAGAGAGUGGAGUUGGGCUGAAGGGAUUGCUGCAGCAGUGCAGAAUAUGCUUGCUGGAGGAAGGAGUUAAUAAUUGUUCCAGCAAUGUGCAGCCCCUAUUUAUUGCAAGAGAGAAUUAAUGGCUUUCCUGACUGGAGCUGAAAAUAGAAGCCAAAUUUGAGUUGUUUCUUGAAGGCAGAUGUAAUUAGAUCAUGAAACUUCUGGCUUUUGGGUCUAAAUAAUAGGAUAAGACUGGCCACACUAAAUCAGAGCAGGGUACGCUCUCUUAACUGUUUCUCAGGGGUGAGAACAGGACAUGCAUGAUCUGAUACUUUCCCAAAUUCCAGAUGAGCAUAAUGCACAUACUACUUAAACUGUAGAUUUAAGUGCAUGAUAUAUUUAUCAGCCCUUGCUAAAUACUUUCUCUGUAGAUUGUUCUAAUUAUUUAUUAAACUCACUUAUAUUUUUCUUAGCCACAACGUACUUGUAGCAAUGAACUAUACAGUGUAGUUAUGAAUUGUGUGAAAAAAUAUUUCUGUGUGAUUUAAAUGGGACUGUUUGGUGCCUGCUAAAUCUUGCGAUAUGAGAAAUAGUGAACAAUUGUUCCCUAUGUGCUAUCCAUGCUAUUCUCAAUUUUAUAUACAGCUAUUUCCUCUUAGUAGUCUGUUUUCCAAGUUGAAAAGUACUUUUAUCCAUCCCCAUGCAGUUAUAGUGAUACACUGCUAUUCGUCUAUGUUGUCCAGCAUAUGCCAUUCCUACUUCUAAUAAACCUUUGGAUAUGGGUCAGUCAGACCGAGGUGAAUUAUUUUGGAUGUGAAUGCAGUCUGGAUUUAUACCAUGGUGUAAUAUUUUUUCAUUUGACUUUUCGUUCUCACAUAACGAUUUGUAACAUUUAGUUUGCUUUUUCUGUCUGCCAGUGAGCACUGGACAAAUCUUUUCAGAGGGCUCUCAAGAAGGAGUCUGAGAUUCUUUCUGAAGUGAUCUAGUGAUGUGUAAAGAAGCCCCUUUGGAGAGCCAAACCACAACAUUAUGGAACAGACAGCUACGUUUGGGUUUGAUUCUGAACAAAACCUUGCUCUUCGUUGCAUAAGCUUUAUUAAAAGAGAUAAAAUAAUUACUAUACAAAUGUUAAAUGGAUAUCUCCUCUCUUGAUGACAAUUAUGCUUAUGGCAAGAAUAUUAGCGUCAAUUGUAAUGCCUGAAAAUGUUACGAGAACUUCAAGAAAUCAAAAUCUGUCUACAUAUUGUGAGCUGAUGCCUCCAGGGUAAUGUGUGGAGGAAAAAGAGGGUUCAGCUCUUUCAGAAUAAGAAAGAUUGUGGUAAUAAAGUUUAUGUUAGCUUCAUCUUAGCUGAUACUGAAGACCAGAAUAAUUUGCAAGAGAAAUUUGAAUGUAAAUAUUGUCAGCAUUUUUUCACACUUUUUCAUCGUGAAACAGAAACCAUGGAAUGUAAUGAGAAGGAAGUUAAGAAACUCCCUCUCAGGAUACCAUGAGCUUCUUACAUAUCACCACACCCUGUCAGCAAUAAACAGAUCUCUUAAUUGCAUAUAAUCUGGAUUUCUUUAAAUAUUGUACUGCAAGCACCAGGCCAAAUUCUGUUUAGCAGCAAUGUUCACAGUUGCUCCUUGGAUCCAAAACCUCCUGAGGUCAGAAUUUUAUUAUCAUUUCUUUAGCUUAGUAGCAGAUUUUCCCCUCUCAGUUUUGAGGGCUGUUGGGUUUUUUAUUUGCUUAAAGAAAAAGAAGAGGAGAGAAAAGAGAAAUAAAUAACAGCUCUAAACAUUGAGGUAUUAGCUAUAGACCUGACUUAUGAUGGCAGUGGAAAUUUCCCUAUACUUCCGUCCUUGAAGAGAGCAACAUUUAGGGGGUAAGAAUAGGCCCAGUAUUACGUUCAUUGCCGUUCGAUCUCUUCUUGGAGCCAUGAGCAAAAGCACCAAUACUCUUUUUUGGAAUAAAAUGGACUUUGAGACUGAUUUCUCAUUGAUCUCUAAAUACCCGAUCAGUAGUAACUUCUGGUUUACCUGAAUUGGACUAGGACCGACAGGGUGGAACUGGGACACUUUGCUGGAACUGGGACACUUUGCUGGAAAUCUGGCUCCCAGUUUGCCAGUACGUUGUUGAAAAGUUUUAUCAAGUUGGUUUUUAUCUCAGUCUUUUUUGUGAGAUUUAUUUGCAUAAUUCAUUCCUUACUGAAAAUUUGAUUUCUCAGCAACUCUAUUGCUUUUUGUAACUCUGCUGUGAAUGAAGCAAGCCUUCGAAUUAUUCUUCUGUUUUUAUUUUCUUUGCAUAUUCCUAUUUAUAGGUAGGGAUGGGCCCAACUGCCCACCUUUUGAUAAGUAAAGAAUAAAACAGUUGAAUUCUAUCAGAUCUGUCAGAGUAAAUCUAAGAGAACAUGUUGUUUUUAGUCCUACUUACUUUUUGGAUAAAAGCUGUUUCGACGGAAAAAGAUCAACAUAUAACUGAAAUUAAGCCCUUCACAAUCCCUACUCUGCCAUGUAAUUCAUAAAUUAAUGGAUCAUGAAAAGACCUUAAAAGAGUUUUAUCCUUCAGAAAUAAUACCUUUAUAUGUGCAGUGCCUAUAUCCCAGAAAACCUUGUGUUGAAUUUGCCUGGAAUCCUUUUGAGAAAGGAUGAAAGAACCAUAAAAUAAUUUUAUGUUGCUUAGUGCCCAAAUGUUAUAAAUGACUAACACAGUCUGAGCAAAACAGUAAAUCUAAUCUUUUGCAACAUGUAUAUUUAACAGUCAUAAAAUCUACUUCUGAGUUUGUUGAUAUCAGACUUUUCUUUUAGAUGCUGUAUGCCAUAUAUCCAAAUUACUUAGACCUCUGAGUAAAGCUAAUUUUUCUUCCUAGAACCAAAUGUAUAAUUUCCAAGGUGACAAGAAAUCUCCCACAGAAAUUGUAGAAUAAUAGAAUCAAGCAAACGCUUGCUAUUCAAAAUGGAUUUACCACCACAGUAUCUGAAAACCUUAUCGUAAGGGUAAUAAGCAAAGCGUGACUGUUCAUCUGUCUUUUUUUUUUUAAUCCACUCUGCAGAGGAAGAAACUUGCGUGUUAGAAUAACGUGGGUCUAUUUUGAUGAGUUUUUUCCAAUAACAUGUAUUGUGAUAUGCAAAUAUGUAUGUAAAUGAAGAAAUAUGCUUUGCAUUUGGGAUAGAAGGAAGUCAAGACCUUUUCUGAUUUUUAUAAUAUCUUCAGAACUGAACCUCAGGAAAGCCCUAGAAUUCUUUUCCCACAAUGAGUUCUAAUUUUACUGUGUAGCUUUCAUUGUGUGAGUCUUGACUAUGGUCUCUUCUCUGGAAAUUCAUUGAUAUUGGUCCCAGGCCACGGAAUGCCUUACAGCACGAGACUCGGCACAUUCAUAAUUCUGUGGGGAGCUGGGUAGAAAUCCAAAGCCCGGUGAGCUGUGGUUGCGAUGGCUUCUCUUGCAGAGGUGAUCUGCUGUGCUCCUGGCUCGCCAGACUCGCCGAGCUGCUGCAAAGUCCCUUGCGCAGGGUAAGUCCUGUAGCUGGGGUCAAGGUGAGCUCUGACAUGAAUAACCACGUCAGGUCAUUGUCUGUCAACCCAGCAGGGAGUCUCAGACACGGCUGGAGUUGGGAUGGAUGUUGCCACGUGAGAGCUUCCCAGCUCUGAGGAAUGCAGCAGUGAUCCUGGAGUAUGGACGGAGCUGGCAAAUCACACCACCAUAGAUUUUGUGUUUAGUUAUGCUUCAUCUCAUGUAAAAAUGUAAUUGACUGAAAAAAAAAAAAAAAGAGUACAUCCUGUUUUUAUAGGACUGAAAUUGUAAUCUCUGAACAAAGGCUUUGGAAACACAAACUUGUGCCAUUAAACUGCUUCUAUGUGGCA